rnacentral:tRNA from 1 species
UAGAAUUUAGUGUACUUGGUAGCACGGAGGAUUUUGAGUUCUUAAGAGUAGGUUCGAGGCCUAUGAUUCUAG